CGUUUGGAAAGUUUAGUUUGAAAAUCCUAAAGGCAUAAUAAUAUUUUAUUAAUAUUGUCUGCUGAUAUGUUGUAGUAAUGGUAUGUUACUUGAAGUUAAGCAAGCAAUCACAAGUGUCUUUUACGAAACGAUUUGUUCGUCCUUGAUUUUGCGAGCUGUUGUGAUUACAUGUAAGACCGGAAACUGCGCUUCAAAAUAAGACAGCGUUAGAUUUCCCAUAGUUCCUCAGAGCUCGGGCCAUUUUUUGGUAGGUCAUUUUUUUGCGGUUGCCCUUCUGAGCACCCCAGUGACCAGCCAGGACUUCUUUGUGUUUUGUGGAGAACUGAAAGAUGCCCUUGUCCUGGUCCACCCACCAGAUACUUUCACUCAUGUCACCGUUUCGAAGCAAGUCCAGGAGGACAAUCGGUUGUGGUCUUCAAGUUCAUCCUCUCCUUCUGAUACCUCGAGUGGGGGACUGAUCCCUCUUUGC